rnacentral:rRNA from 1 species
GACGAACGCUGGCGGCGUGCUUAACACAUGCAAGUCGAACGGAAAGGCCCUGCUUUUGUGGGGUGCUCGAGUGGCGAACGGGUGAGUAACACGUGAGUAGCCUGCCCUUGACUUUGGGAUAACUUCAGGAAACUGGGGCUAAUACCGGAUAGGAGCUCCUGCUGCAUGGUGGGGGUUGGAAAGUUUCGGCGGUUGGGGAUGGACUCGCGGCUUAUCAGCUUGUUGGUGGGGUAGUGGCUUACCAAGGCUUUGACGGGUAGUCGGCCUGAGAGGGUGACCGGCCACAUUGGGACUGAGAUACGGCCCAGACUCCUACGGGAGGCAGCAGUGGGGAAUAUUGCACAAUGGGCGGAAGCCUGAUGCAGCAACGCCGCGUGCGGGAUGACGGCCUUCGGGUUGUAAACCGCUUUCGCCUGUGACGAAGCGUGAGUGACGGUAAUGGGUAAAGAAGCACCGGCUAACUACGUG